UACGUAGGGUGCGAGCGUUAAUCGGAAUUACUGGGCGUAAAGCGCACGUAGGCGGAUUUGUAAGUCAGGGGUGAAAUCCCGGGGCUCAACCCCGGACGUGCAUUGGAUACGACGGCGCUGGAGUCCUGAAGAGGAGGGCGGAAUUCCCGGUGUAGAGGUGAAAUGCGUAGAUAUCUGGAGGAACACCGGUGGCGAAGGCGGCAUCCUGGACCGAUACUGACGCUGAGGAGCGAAAGCCAGGGGAGCAAACGGG
rnacentral:rRNA from 1 species